AAUUCGACAAUCAUUGGUUUAGGCCUGUGCUGGAUUGAACCUGCGACCUCACAGUGAGAGGCAAGCGUUUUACGAACUGGGCUACCACGGCUCAAAAAAUCCUAUGUUAUUACCCAUUAAGCAUAAAUUACAUAACCGUUUGUCGCCUUUGAAAAUCACGCGAUUUGCACUGAAUUAUUAUUAUUAUGACUAUUUAGUAUAAUCUAAAGGGAAAUAGCAAUUUGACAGCUUCCUGUGCGACGUGUAUAUAUUGUCGGUGGUAGGAUGGUGGUCAUCAGUGGUCACCAGCAAGUGAAACAUGAAGGUCCUCGGAGUACUCUUGGCUAUUUUCGCCAUCGUUUUCGCUGUUGUGAGCGGUAUGAGCACCGGCGGCGCUGCGCCGGCCGCGCUGCACGACACCAAGCCUGCAGGGUGCUUCGGUGGCGGCCCACCACCGCCACCACCUCCCACCAACAGCAGCCGUUAAGCUGCUCCACGCACGGAUCCCUCGCUACGCUAUCGGAUAACAAUCGCUAAUUAUAUC